rnacentral:rRNA from 1 species
AGUCUUGACGGAGCACUGCCGCGUGAGUGAUGAAGGUUUUUGGGUCUGUAAAACUCUGUUGUUAGGGAAGAACAAGUACCGUUCGAAUAGGGCGGUACCUUGGCGGUACCUAACCAGAAAGCCACGGGUAACUUCGUGCCCGCAGCCGCGGUAAUACGUAGGUGGCAAGCGUUUUCUGGAAUUAUUGGGGGUAAAGCGCGCGCAGGCGGUCCUUUAAGUUUGAUGUGAAAGCCCCCGGGUCAACCGUGGAGGGUCAUUGGAAACUGGGGGACUUGAGUGCAGAAGAGGAGAGUGGAAUUUCCACGUGUAGCGGUGAAAUGGGUAGAGAUUUGGAGGAACACCAGUGGGGAAGGGGACUCUUUGGUCUGUAACUGACGCUGAGGCGCGAAAGCGUGGGGAGCGAACAGGAUUAGAUUCCCUGGUAGUCCACGCCGUAAACGAUGAUUGCUAAGUGUUAGAGGGUUUCCGCCCUUUAGUGCUGCAGCAAACGCAUUAAGCAGUCCGCCUGGGAG